rnacentral:rRNA from 2 species
UACGUAGGGUCCAAGCGUUGUCCGGAUUUAUUGGGCGUAAAGAGCUCGUAGGCGGUUCGGUAAGUCGGGUGUGAAAACCCCAGGCUCAACCUGGGGACGCCACUCGAUACUGCUGUGACUUGAGUUCGGUAGGGGAGCACGGAAUUCCUGGUGUAGCGGUGAAAUGCGCAGAUAUCAGGAGGAACACCGGUGGCGAAGGCGGUGCUCUGGGCCGAAACUGACGCUGAGGAGCGAAAGCGUGGGUAGCAAACAGG